ensembl:lncRNA
GGAAAAGAGUAGAUCUCUAAUUGUAGGUCUUUUGGGCUUGUUGUCAAGAAUUCUAUUUUUAAUUCAGUUGUAUGAAUUUUUUACACAGUGAAAUUACUGAGUAUUUUUUUUUUAUCAAGAACCUUUUGUGCUUGGGGUCUUGGGAGAAUAAAAGACAAGUAAAGACAAUGCUCUCUGUCCUGGGAAAACCUGGAGACGGCAUAUAUUUACCCAGAGCAGAUUUAGAAUGUUAAACUAUUGCACAUAAUUAAGAGUUAAAUUGGAUGUUAUGGACAGUGAAUCCACUAGGAUUCAGAGAAGGAAGUGAUUAGCUAGGAGCAACAUAAUUGGGUGACAUUUCCAACGUGUCAUCCGAGAACCACCAUGUAACAUACAAAUGGACAGUUUUAUAUGAUGUUACUACACACCCUGAACUCUUGCAACAAUAAACUAAAAAUGAUUAUUUUAUACUAUCACUUGAUAUAGCCUACUUCAAAGGCUAUGAAGCACCUAGAUCUUGUAUAAACCUAGAUUUCAAUGUUUUACUAUGCUUGGAGCAAGCAAGGGAAAUCUCUAGCCCUUCAUGUACCCAACAAACCUUGAACUGAACCCCCAGUGACAAAUACUGAGUAAAGAACAAGUAAGAAAGACCAGAAUUAUUCUGCAUGUGAUACUCGUAGCUCUGUUUCUGAGCAUCAGCCUUGAGUAAGCCAGUUGUAAACUAGAAGGUAAGGAAUCUGAACCUGGCUCCCAAAUAAUAUCAGGACUUGGAAGGAAGGGGACCAACGAGAGCAUCCACCAUUCCUCUUUAGAGAAAAGCGUACCCUAUUUGGGACUAUAGGAGCCCCACAGGGAAGAUUAAAAAAAAAAAGUGAUCCCACAAUCAAAGAUGGUAGAAAUAUACAAAAAAACCAACCUUAUCAGUGAGAAUAUCAGAAGGGAGACAAAACAAAAAAGAGACUUAAUUCCCUGAGAUUUUCAAGUAUUUGAAUGAUCACAUAUAGAAUUUUAAAAAAUGGGUAUGACUCUUUAAAGGAAAUAUACAAGAAAACCAACCAUUAUCAGUGAGGAUAUCAGAAGGGAGACAAAACAGAAAAGAGACUUAAUUCCCUGAGAUUUUCAAGUAUUUGAAUGAUCACAUAUAGAAUUAAAAAAUUAGAUAUGACUCUUUAAAGGAAUAAAAGGAAAUUAUUUAAAAUACGGGCAUGCAUAUCGUCAAUCUAGUUAGAAACUUGUCAAUUUUAUGAGACAUCUCAAAGGUUUACAGAUCCUUUAUUUUAUUCUUCAAAAGACAUAUAGAAAUAAGCUAUGAACCAAAAUUUUUUUUGAAAAACAUGUAAAUGAUGAAAAGUCAUGACUAGAAUAUAUAAAAAGCUAUCAUUAAAUAAGAAAGAAACAAAUAGCCUAAUGGAAAAAUGGGCAAAGGGCUUCAAGAGGAGUUACCCUGAAAAGAAACAUAUAACCAGUAUACAUAUGAAGAGUUAUGUGACCUCAUAGUACCUGGGGAAAUGCAAAGAGAGACGUCACUGAAUUCUCAUUUAUACUUGCUAGAUUAGAAUAGAUGAAGAAGUCUGAAAACGCAAAGUGUCAGAGAGAACCUUAAUACACUGAUUUGGGGAUUGCAAUCAUUUAGAAAUAUCCUGGGGCAUUUGCUUGUGACUUUAAACAUUGGUCUACUUUAUGACUCAGCAAUUCCGCUCCUAAUGUAUAUCUCCUCCAGGUAUUUUGUAUGGGUGUCACAGUUGACACAUACCAGAAUAUUCAUAAAAGCACUGUUUAUAAUAGCAAAAAAAUGGAAAUAACCAAAAUCUCCAUUAGUAGGAGAGUGAAUAAAUAAGUUGUGAAUUAUUUAUGCAAUGGGUUAUAUGGCAGAGAAGAUGAGUGAGUUAUGACUAUGUAUACUAACCUGGAGAUGAAUAUAAAAACAUUGAAUAAAAUUAUAUUAUUUAUGGUAUAU